rnacentral:rRNA from 1 species
UACGAAGGGGGCUAGCGUUGCUCGGAAUCACUGGGCGUAAAGGGUGCGUAGGCGGGUCUUUAAGUCAGGGGUGAAAUCCUGGAGCUCAACUCCAGAACUGCCUUUGACACUGAAGAUCUUGAGUUCGGGAGAGGUGAGUGGAACUGCGAGUGUAGAGGUGAAAUUCGUAGAUAUUCGCAAGAACACCAGUGGCGAAGGCGGCUCACUGGCCCGAUACUGACGCUGAUGCACGAAAGCGUGGGGAGCAAACAGG